rnacentral:rRNA from 1 species
GAUGAACGCUGGCGGCGUGCCUAACACAUGCAAGUCGAACGGAUUUUUCUCGCUGACGAGACUUCGGUCAAAUCUUGAGAAAAGUUAGUGGCGGACGGGUGAGUAACGCGUGGGCAACCUGCCUCAUACUGGGGGAUAACAGUUGGAAACGACUGUUAAUACCGCAUAAGCGCACAGCAUCGCAUGAUGCAGUGUGAAAAACUCCGGUGGUAUGAGAUGGGCCCGCGUCAGAUUAGCUAGUUGGUGAGGUAAAGGCCCACCAAGGCGACGAUCUGUAGCCGGACUGAGAGGUCGGACGGCCACAUUGGGACUGAGACACGGCCCAAACUCCUACGGGAGGCAGCAGUGGGGGAUAUUGCACAAUGGAGGAAACUCUGAUGCAGCGACGCCGCGUGAGUGAAGAAGUAUUUCGGUAUGUAAAGCUCUAUCAGCAGGAAGAAAGGCCUCGCAGGAGAGAUGACGUAC